CACGUAGGGUGCGAGCGUUGUCCGGAAUUAUUGGGCGUAAAGAGCUCGUAGGCGGUGUGUCGCGUCGGCCGUGAAAACCUGCAGCUUAACUGUGGGCUUGCGGUCGAUACGGGCAUCACUGGAGUUCGGCAGGGGAGACUGGAAUUCCUGGUGUAGCGGUGAAAUGCGUAGAUAUCGGAAGGAACACCAGUGGCGAAGGCGGCUCUCUGGGCCGAUACUGACGCUGAGGAGCGAAAGCGUGGGGAGCGAACAGG
rnacentral:rRNA from 1 species